CGUGAGUAACCUGCCUUGGAGUGGGGAAUAACACAGUGAAAACUGUGCUAAUACCGCAUAAUGCAUUUGGGUCGCAUGAUUCUGAAUGCCAAAGAUUUAUCGCUCUGAGAUGGACUCGCGUCUGAUUAGCUGGUUGGCGGGGUAACGGCCCACCAAGGCGACGAUCAGUAGCCGGACUGAGAGGUUGGCCGGCCACAUUGGGACUGAGACACGGCCCAG
rnacentral:rRNA from 1 species